CCUACGGGAGGCAGCAGUGGGGGAUAUUGCACAAUGGGGGAAACCCUGAUGCGGCGACGCCGCGUGGGUGAAGAAGGGCCUCGGCGCGUAAAGCCCUGUCAGCAGGGAAGAAAAUGACGGUACCUGAAGAAGAAGCCCCGGCUAACUACGUGCCAGCAGCCGCGGUAAUACGUAGGGGGCAAGCGUUAGCCGGAUUGACUGGGGGUAAAGGGGGCGCAGACGGCGAUGCAAGCCAGGCGUGAAAGCCCGGGGCCCAACCCCGGGAAUGCUCUUGGAACUGCGUGGCUAGAGUGCAGGAGGGGCAGGCGGAAUUCCUGGUGUAGCGGUGAAAUGCGUAGAUAUCAGGAGGAACACCGGUGGCGAAGGCGGCCUGCUGGACUGCAACUGACGUUGAGGCCCGAAAGCGUGGGGAGCAAACAGGAUUAGAUACCCGUGUAGUC
rnacentral:rRNA from 1 species